GAUGAACGCUGGCGGCGUGCCUAAUACAUGCAAGUCGAGCGAACAGACGAGGAGCUUGCUCCUCUGACGUUAGCGGCGGACGGGUGAGUAACACGUGGAUAACCUACCUAUAAGACUGGGAUAACUUCGGGAAACCGGAGCUAAUACCGGAUAAUAUAUUGAACCGCAUGGUUCAAUAGUGAAAGACGGUUUUGCUGUCACUUAUAGAUGAAUCCGCGCCGCAUUAGCUAGUUGGUAAGGUAACGGCUUACCAAGGCGACGAUGCGUAGCCGACCUGAGAGGGUGAUCGGCCACACUGGAACUGAGACACGGUCCAGACUCCUACGGGAGGCAGCAGUAGGGAAUCUUCCGCAAUGGGCGAAAGCCUGACGGAGCAACGCCGCGUGAGUGAUGAAGGUCUUCGGAUCGUAAAACUCUGUUAUUAGGGAAGAACAAAUGUGUAAGUAACUAUGCACGUCUUGACGGUACCUAAUGAGAAAGCCACGGCUAACUACGUG
rnacentral:rRNA from 1 species